UACAGAGGGGGCAAGCGUUGUUCGGAAUUACUGGGCGUAAAGGGCGCGUAGGCGGCCAACUAAGUCAGACGUGAAAUCCCUCGGCUCAACCGGGGAACUGCGUCUGAUACUGGGUGGCUUUGAAUCCGGGAGAGGGAUGCGGAAUUCCAGGUGUAGCGGUGAAAUGCGUAGAUAUCUGGAGGAACACCGGUGGCGAAGGCGGCAUCCUGGACCGGCAUUGACGCUGAGGCGCGAAAGCGUGGGGAGCGAACGGG
rnacentral:rRNA from 1 species